rnacentral:rRNA from 1 species
GACGAACGCUGGCGGCGUGCCUAAUACAUGCAAGUCGAACGAACCGCGACUAAGUGCUUGCACUAAGUCAAGGUGAGUGGCGAACGGGUGAGUAACACGUGGGUAACCUACCUCAUAGUGGGGGAUAACAGUCGGAAACGACUGCUAAUACCGCAUAGGACAUAGGAUCACAUGAUCCAGUGAGGAAAGGUGGCGCAAGCUAUCGCUAAGAGAUGGACCCGCGGUGCAUUAGCUAGUUGGUAGGGUAAAGGCCUACCAAGGCGAUGAUGCAUAGCCGACCUGAGAGGGUGAUCGGCCACAUUGGGACUGAGACACGGCCCAAACUCCUACGGGAGGCAGCAGUAGGGAAUCUUCCGCAAUGGACGCAAGCCUGACGGAGCAACGCCGCGUGAGUGAAGAAGGUCUUCGGAUCGUAAAGCUCUGUUGUUAGAGAAGAACAGCGCAUAGAGUAACUGCUAUGCGUGUGACGGUAUCUAACCAGAAAGCCACGGCUAACUACGUG